GGUGAGUAACACGUAAGAAUUUGCCUUUAGGAGGGGGAUAACAACUGGAAACGGUUGCUAAUACCCCAUAUGCUUUCGAGUGAAAUGAAUUUUUCCGCCUAGAGAGAAGCUUGCGGCUGAUUAGCUUGUUGGUGAGGUAAUGGCUUACCAAGGCGACGAUCAGUAUCUGGUUUGAGAGGACGAUCAGACACACUGGAACUGAGACACGGCCCAGACUCCUACGGGAGGCAGCAGUGGGGAAUUUUCCGCAAUGGGCGAAAGCCUGACGGAGCAACGCCGCGUGAGGGAUGAAGGCCUCUGGGCUGUAAACCUCUUUUAUCAAGGAAGAAGAUCUGACGGUACUUGAUGAAUAAGCCACGGCUAAUUCCGUGCCAGCAGCCGCGGUAAUACGGGAGUGGCAAGCGUUAUCCAGAAUUAUUGGGCGUAAAGCGUCCGCAGGCGGCCCUUCAAGUCUGCUGUUAAAAAGUGGAGCUUAACUCCAUCAUGGCAGUGGAAACUGUUGGGCUUGAGUGUGGUAGGGGCAGAGGGAAUUCCCGGUGUAGCGGUGAAAUGCGUAGAUAUCGGGAAGAACACCAGUGGCGAAGGCGCUCUGCUGGGCCAUCACUGACGCUCAUGGACGAAAGCCAGGGGGGCGAAAGGGAUUAGAUACCCCUGUAGUCCUGGCCGUAAACGAUGAACACUAGGUGUCGGGGGAAU
rnacentral:rRNA from 1 species